UGAAAAAAUUGCUCACAAUUGUGUCAGUCAUGAAACUGACCAUUGCCUUACUUUUGAUCGGCAACUUGUGUCUGAUUGAUGCUCUGCCCAGAAGAAAGGAAUCAAACCCACUAGAGUCAAACUCCGACAACAAUGGCCUUGCGGCGACAGCUGAUGUCAAACAAAUCGGAAAGGUCAUGGAAUUCAAAAUUGAUGUUCCGGUCGCGAAGAUAAACCAACCCAAAGAAGAUGACCAAGAGAUGAAGGAAAUUAGCAACAGCAACAAAGCUGAGCCUGAAAAAGGGCCAUCUGAAAGCAACUCAGGAUCAGAAAACAACCCAAAGAAAAGGAAAAGCAAAAAAUCAAGGAGAAAUGGAUCAAAGAGCCCCUCAAGGAGAAGCAGGCGAAGGGGAAAUUCGAAGAGGAAAUCGAAUAGGAAAUCGAAUAGGAGAAGUGGGUGAAUUUCCUUAAGGAAAAGAUAACCGAAAAAUUUCAUUUUGAUGGUUUUAAUUAAAAUAUUCCUGCGUAUUUUCAGCCUAAUUUAGAUUUUACUAUAAGUUCUUCCAUCUCGUCUGUUUGAAUAAUUUAUGUGUCCAUUUCGUCCAAUUCAAAGUUACCAUGCUUCCUUGAUACUAUUUUUAACUAAACACAUUUUUCUUACGAAAUAAUCAGCUUUAAUCGAAUGAGGACGCUUGCAUAAAAAACUAUUGAAAUCUGCAUGCAAAUAAAACCUGUAAUUACCUUUUAUAAUUAUUGCUCAUGUGGUGAAAUUCCUCAGAUUGAUGAAUAAAAUAAAAUAAAAUAAAAAA